GGGGAUGUACCUCAGUGGUAGAGCACUUGCCUACCAUGCACAAGGCCCUGGUUUCAAUCCCUAGCAUCCCCC
rnacentral:tRNA from 1 species